UACGGAGGGGGCAAGCGUUGUUCGGAAUUACUGGGCGUAAAGGGCGCGCAGGCGGCUGCUCAAGUCAGGCGUGAAAGGCCUGGGCUCAACCCGGGAAUUGCGCUUGAGACUGGGCUGGCUUGAGUGCGGGAGAGGAUGGUGGAAUUCCCAGUGUAGAGGUGAAAUUCGUAGAUAUUGGGAAGAACACCGGUGGCGAAAGCGGCUCACUGGACCACAACUGACGCUGAUGCGCGAAAGCUAGGGGAGCAAACAGG
rnacentral:rRNA from 1 species